UAGAUGAACGCUGGCGGCGUGCUUAACACAUGCAAGUCGAACGAUGAUCCCUGGCUUGCUGGGGGGAUUAGUGGCGAACGGGUGAGUAACACGUGAGUAACCUGCCCUUGACUCUGGGAUAAGCCUGGGAAACUGGGUCUAAUACCGGAUAUGACCGUCCCACGCAUGUGGUGGUGGUGGAAAGCUUUUGCGGUUUUGGAUGGACUCGCGGCCUAUCAGCUUGUUGGUGGGGUAAUGGCCUACCAAGGCGACGACGGGUAGCCGGCCUGAGAGGGUGACCGGCCACACUGGGACUGAGACACGGCCCAGACUCCUACGGGAGGCAGCAGUGGGGAAUAUUGCACAAUGGGCGAAAGCCUGAUGCAGCGACGCCGCGUGAGGGAUGACGGCCUUCGGGUUGUAAACCUCUUUCAGUAGGGAAGAAGCGAAAGUGACGGUACCUGCAGAAGAAGCGCCGGCUAACUACGUGCCAGCAGCCGCGGUAAUACGUAGGGCGCAAGCGUUAUCCGGAAUUAUUGGGCGUAAAGAGCUCGUAGGCGGUUUGUCGCGUCUGCUGUGAAAGACCGGGGCUCAACUCCGGUUCUGCAGUGGGUACGGGCAGACUAGAGUGAUGUAGGGGAGACUGGAAUUCCUGGUGUAGCGGUGAAAUGCGCAGAUAUCAGGAGGAACACCGAUGGCGAAGGCAGGUCUCUGGGCAUUAACUGACGCUGAGGAGCGAAAGCAUGGGGAGCGAACAGGAUUAGAUACCCUGGUAGUCCAUGCCGUAAACGUUGGGCACUAGGUGUGGGGGACAUUCCACGUUUUCCGCGCCGUAGCUAACGCAUUAAGUGCCCCGCC
rnacentral:rRNA from 1 species